UGGACCUUUAGCUCAACUGGUUAGAGCACUCGGCUCAUAACCGAGAGGUCGUAGGUUCGAGUCCUACAAGGUCCAU
rnacentral:tRNA from 1 species